AAUGAACGCUGGCGGCAGGCCUAAAACAUGCAAGUUGAACGCCCUAGCAAUAGGGAGUGGCGCACGGGUGCGUAACACGUGGGAAUAUGCCUUUUGGUACGGAACAACGUUUGGAAACGAACGCUAAUACCGUAUGGUCCCUUCGGGGUAAAGAUUUAUCGCCAAAAGAUUAGCCCGCGGUGGAUUAGCUAGUUGGUGAGGUAAUGGCUCACCAAGGCGACGAUCCAUAGCUGGUCUGAGAGGACGAUCAGCCACACUGGGACUGAGACACGGCCCAGACUCCUACGGGAGGCAGCAGUUAGGAAUAUUGGACAAUGGGCGCAAGCCUGAUCCAGCCAUGCCGCGUGAGUGAUGAAGGCCUUCGGGUUGUAAAACUCCUUAGCCGACGAUUAUAAUGACUGUAGUCGGAGAAUAAGCCCCGGCUAACUUCGUGCCAGCAGCCGCGGU
rnacentral:rRNA from 1 species